rnacentral:piRNA from 1 species
UUUCCAGUUUAUCCUGGACAA